AUACCAAAUGAUGAAAAUGGAUUUUAAUAUCUCACGAUGGUCAUCAGAGACUUUGUGUCGAUGUUGAUCCAAUAAUUCUGAUGUUU
rnacentral:snoRNA from 1 species